GAUGAACGCUGGCGGCGUGCCUAAUACAUGCAAGUCGAGCGAACGGACGAGAAGCUUGCUUCUCUGAUGUUAGCGGCGGACGGGUGAGUAACACGUGGAUAACCUACCUAUAAGACUGGGAUAACUUCGGGAAACCGGAGCUAAUACCGGAUGAUAUUUUGAACCGCAUGGUUCAAAAGUGAAAGACGGUCUUGCUGUCACUUAUAGAUGGAUCCGCGCUGCAUUAGCUAGUUGGUAAGGUAAAGGCUUACCAAGGCAACGAUGCAUAGCCGACCUGAGAGGGUGAUCGGCCACACUGGAACUGGAACACGGUCCAGACUCCUACGGGAGGCAGCAGUAGGGAAUCUUCCGCAAUGGGCGAAAGCCUGACGGAGCAACGCCGCGUGAGUGAUGAAGGUCUUCGGAUCGUAAAACUCUGUUAUUAGGGAAAAACAUAUGUGUAAGUAACUGUGCACAUCUUGACGGUACCUAAUCAGAAAGCCACGGCUAACUACGUG
rnacentral:rRNA from 1 species